UACGUAGGGGGCAAGCGUUACUCGGAUUCACUGGGCGUAAAGCGCGUGUAGGCGGCUGGUCAAGCGUGGUGUGAAAUCUCCGGGCUCAACCCGGAAACUGCACCGCGAACUGGCCUGGCUGGAGUGCAGGAGAGGGAAGGGGAAUUCCCGGUGUAGCGGUGAAAUGCGCAGAUAUCGGGAAGAACACCCGUGGCGAAGGCGGUUCUCUGGGACGGUACUGACGCUGAGACGCGAAAGCGUGGGGAGCGAACAGG
rnacentral:rRNA from 1 species